GAUGAACGCUGGCGGCGUGCCUAACACAUGCAAGUCGAACGAAAAGACGAGGAGCUUGUGCCUCUGACGGUAGCGGCGGACGGGUGAGUAACGCGUGCAUCACAUACUUCUAUGUCUGGGAGGAUUACGGGAAACCGGAGCUAAUACCGGAUAAUAUAUUGAACUGCAUGGUUCAAUAGUGAAUGACGGCUUUGGUGUCUGUUAGAGCUGGUUCCGCGUCGCAUUAGCUAGUUGGUAAGGUAACGGCUUACCAAGGCGACGAUGCGUAGCCGAUCUGAGAGGGUGAUCGGCCACACUGGAACUGAGACACGGUCCAGACUCCUACGGGAGGCAGCAGUAGGGAAUCUUCCGCAAUGGGCGAAAGCCUGAUGCAGCAACACCGCGUGAGUGAUGAAGGCCUUCGGUUCGUAAAGCCCUGUUGUUGGGAAAGAACAAAUGCGUAAUUAACCAUGGCCGUCUUGACGGUACCUAAACAAUAAGCCACGGCUAACUACGUG
rnacentral:rRNA from 1 species